GAUGAAGAACGUAGCGAAAUGCGAUAAGUAAUGUGAAUUGCAGAAUUCAGUGAAUCAUCGAAUCUUUGAACGCACAUUGCGCCCCUUGGUAUUCCGGGGGGCAUGCCUGUUCGAGCGUCAUUAUAACCCCUCAAGCUCAGCUUGGUGUUGGGGCCUGCCGACUGGCAGCCCUUAAAAUCAGUGGCGGCGCCAUCUGGCUCUAAGCGUAGUAAUUUCUCUCGCUAUAGAGUCCCGGUGGAUGCUUGCCAGCAACCCCCAACUUUCUAUGGUUGACCUCGGAUCAGGUAGGGAUACCCGCUGAACUUAAGCAUAUCAAUAGCGGAGGA
rnacentral:misc_RNA from 1 species